AGAUUGAACGCUGGCGGCAUGCCUAACACAUGCAAGUCGAACGGGAGUAGCAAUACUCUAGUGGCGGACGGGUGAGGAAUACGUAGGAAUUUGCCCUUAAGUGGGGGAUAACCCGGGGAAACCCGGAUUAAUACCGCAUGACCUCGAAAGAGCAAAGUGGGGGAUCGCAAGACCUCACGCUUUUGGAG
rnacentral:rRNA from 1 species